UUUUUUUACAAUAGCUAUAACUAAAUUACAACAUCACAAUCCCAAACACACCCUAAAAGGAAAAAAAAAAUUAUGAUACAGUCAGAAAUUUAAUUUACAGGAAACAAUUUAAAAGUAAAUGUAAUUUAAAAGAUCACGACUUCAACUUUUGGGAGUAUCGACAAAAUUUUACGACCCUAUUUGCCGUAGACUGAUUCCUCCCUUGGUAUUACUGUGAUGAUUAAUAAUCAUUGAAGUUUUUUUGGUUUGGCCCUUGGCCGUGAACGGAAAAAGUAAAAAUUGUCAUCUCUAAAUAAUUUUGGCUAUGAUGUGAUCUGAUAAGUGAGUGGUAAAAAAAAAUUAUAAAAUUUUAGAAUAAACAAAAAUAUUGGGGUGGCUGUCUCGUGAUACUAUAGUGAAAUUAAUGAAGAUUUUCUUUUGAGAGAAGAAAUAAGUUUACUGAUUGAAAGGACAAAUUGAGAAUAAUGAGUGCACCUCAAAGUAAACAUUUUCUUGUAAUUCUCUUGAAAAUUUCCCAAAGCUCUUUCGCUCUAAUAAACUUCUCUUCCUGUAAUAUCGCUACUCAAUCUCAUCAUUUAUUAUAACAAAUUAUUCUUAGACUCAGAUAUUUGAAACAUUUUGACACUUGAAUACUUGAUACAUACUUUAUUAAAAACAACUUCAUGGGUUAGAAAAAAGUCCACGAAAUGCAUUUUACAUCUGCUUUUUUAAAAAUUGAAAAAAAAAAUUCAGAUUUGCUUAUGAAAGAUUAUCUUACUUGGAAAGUUUUUAAUGCAAACUCUGCCAAACACCAAAUAAUUUGAAAAUUGAAAUAAAAACAGGAAGCAAGAGAUAAAUAAACAAAACAAAUGAAUUACACAAAAGUGGCCAUGGCCCCAGGUUUCCAUAGCUGCGACACUGAACAUGGUGACACUGAUGUAGCUCCAUGCCUAAAAUAUUCUAUUAACUGAAUAUAUAAUUAAAUUAUUUCGAACGUUUCUAAUUACAUAAAUAAUUUCAUAAUCACUAAAAAUUCAUGGAAAGUUCAUAAACAGCUUUGUCCUUUUUGUAGCUCAAUCAUUCUGUUCAUGCAAAAUAAAAAUAAAAAGUGAAGGUAAAAUUGAUUGAUUAGCACAAUAAUGUAUGAAUUUUUUUCCCCUAUUUUAGAUAGAAUCUAAUUUUCCUUUUUACCUCCAAUUCUUUUGGUGGAAUGUAUCAAAAAUAUUUUGACAUAACAUGUGAAGUAUUUUUGAAGUUAUAUGUGUGUAGUGAUCAGUGACCUUUGACUGAUGGGUAACUUUCCUUUGGACUGACAUUGCUUAAACUUAGUGCUAAGUAUAUACCUGUGCAAUAGACAAUAGUAUAUUAUAAUUAUGAGAUCCUGAAUCCAGGACACUCUAUUAUUAUUUUACAUGAUCGUGGAAUCUCUAGGCAGUGUAGGAUCGAAGGUCUAUUGCGUGAAAUUUUAAUUUUUGAUAUUCUUUUAUAACUAACUACAUUUGUGUUUUUAAAUAAUCUUAAGAUAUAUUGACACUGGUUUUCUUAAAUAAGCGCUUUCCCAAUCUUAUAUUUUUUUUUUUAAAAAAGUAAUAGUAUUUUUAUGAUAAAAAACGAAAAUUUGCAAUUAAAAAUCUAUUGGGAUAAAUGUAGAUUAAGCUUUUGCUUAAGUUAUUAUUUUCUAUAUUCGUAGGGAGGAUGAAACAAAGUCAUGAAACAAAAGACUCUUCUAACAUGCUCGUUGGCCAAUGACGAAUGUCGUGAAACGCUUCAUGGAUAAACAAAUGCUUCUCUAUAGGUGUAUUUAGUACACUGUAUUGUAUUACAUUAAUUGUAUUGUAAUAUAUUAUAUUGUACUAGGGUGAAUUAAAUUAUAAUGUAAUAUUAUAUUUGGUGCAACACAGACAGCAGUAUAUGUAAUAAUAUUGUAGAUCAUUAUUUAUAUUAUUAUUAAUUUUAAGUUAAUAUUAUUUAAAUUUAUCAAUAUUUAAAUAUUUAUUAUCAGUUAUAUUGAAUCGUUGAAUAAUAAUAAAUUUUUAUAUAUUAAUUAUUAUAAUAUAAUAUAAUUAAAUAUUAUAUUAUUUAACUAUAUUUUUAAUAUAAUUGAUAUAAAAAAAUCAAAUAAUAUUUAUAUUAAUUAUUAUCAGAUAAUAAAUUCUAAAUUUAUAUGAAUUAUUAUAAUGUAAAAAAUAAAAAGAAAUUAAUAUUAUAUAAUAUAAGAUUAUAAUAUAAUACUUGAAUUAUAAACUUAUUUUUAUUUAUUAUAAUAUAAAAAUUAAGGGGAAAAAAAGAAGUUAAUGUUGUGUAGUCUCAUAUUAUGAGGGGCGUGAAGUACACCGUACGUGCAUAAACGACAUUUAUAAAACUUUUGGCCUUCUUGUAUACUAAACCAAUAUUACUUUCAAUUGGGAAAAUAAUUAACAAAUGCAUAAAAAGAAAACCUUGAUUGAUUGCAAUUGAUUUUCAGUUCAGAAGAUCAAGUCUAAUUCAAGGCAAUUUUUGGUGAAAAUAUUGUUUUAAUCCAAUAAAUAUGAGGUUGGUUACUACUUUUUAAGGACAUUCCACAUCAUGCCUAGGCUUAUGUUUCUUAAAAAAAAAAAAAGGACCGAGAAGACAA
rnacentral:lncRNA from 1 species